rnacentral:snRNA from 1 species
UCUUUUUUUCUGCAUAUCCU